rnacentral:siRNA from 1 species
ACAGAAUGACCAAAUUACCCUCAU